rnacentral:rRNA from 1 species
UACGAACUGUGCGAACGUUAUUCGGAAUCACUGGGCUUACAGGGUGCGUAGGCGGCUUGUUAAGUAGGGUGUGAAAGCCCCCGGCUCACACGGGGAAUUGCGCCCUAAACUGGCGAGCUGGAGUGAGAUAGGGGUGUGUGGAACUUCCGGUGGAGCGGUGAAAUGUGUUGAUAUCGGAAGGAACGCCGGUGGCGAAAGCGACACACUGGAUCUUGUCUGACGCUGAGGCACAGAAAGCCAGGGGAGCGGAACGGG